CUGCAGACAAUUAAGCUGACCUUGCCACCCUCCCAAUGGCAUCUGUCCAGUGUGCAGUGGCUGCAAACAGCAGCCUACUGGGUAGUGUAUGCAGCCUGUUGCUUGUAUAGGCCGCACUAAGGGACCCUGGAGACAGCC
rfam:Erinaceus europaeus unplaced genomic scaffold scaffold00214, whole genome shotgun sequence